rnacentral:rRNA from 1 species
UACGGGGGGGGCAAGCGUUGUCCGGAUUUACUGGGCGUAAAGGGCUCGUAGGUGGCCAACUAAGUCAGACGUGAAAUCCCUCGGCUUAACCGGGGAACUGCGUCUGAUACUGGAUGGCUUGAGUUUGGGAGAGGGAUGCGGAAUUCCAGGUGUAGCGGUGAAAUGCGUAGAUAUCUGGAGGAACACCGGUGGCGAAGGCGGCAUCCUGGACCAACACUGACACUGAGGAGCGAAAGCCAGGGGAGCAAACGGG